rnacentral:rRNA from 1 species
UACGAAGGGGGCUAGCGUUGUUCGGAAUUACUGGGCGUAAAGCGCACGUAGGCGGGUCGUUAAGUCAGGGGUGAAAUCCUGGAGCUCAACUCCAGAACUGCCUUUGAUACUGGGAAUCUCGAGUCCGGGAGAGGUGAGUGGAACUGCGAGUGUAGAGGUGAAAUUCGUAGAUAUUCGCAAGAACACCAGUGGCGAAGGCGGCUCACUGGCCCGGUACUGACGCUGAGGUGCGAAAGCGUGGGGAGCAAACAGG